rnacentral:rRNA from 1 species
CCUACGGGAGGCAGCAGUAGGGAAUAUUGCUCAAUGGGGGAAACCCUGAAGCAGCAACGCCGCGUGGAGGAUGAAGGUUUUCGGAUUGUAAACUCCUUUUGUUAGAGAAGAUAAUGACUGUAUCUAACGAAUAAGCACCGGCUAACUCCGUGCCAGCAGCCGCGGUAAUACGGAGGGUGCAAGCGUUACUCGGAAUCACUGGGCGUAAGGAGCGCGUAGGCGGGAUAGCAAGUCAGAUGUGAAAUCCUAUGGCUUAACCAUAGAACUGCAUUUGAAACUGUUAUUAUAGAGUAUGGGAGAGGUAGGUGGAAUUCUUGGUGUAGGGGUAAAAUCCGUAGAGAUCAAGAGGAAUACUCAUUGCGAAGGCGACCUGCUAGAACAUAACUGACGCUGAUGCGCGAAAGCGUGGGGAGCAAACAGGAUUAGAUACCCGUGUAGUC